GACAGCAGUAGCCGCGGUAAUACGGAGGGGGCUAGCGUUGUUCGGAAUUACUGGGCGUAAAGCGCACGUAGGCGGCUUGGUAAGUUAGAGGUGAAAGCCUGGAGCUCAACUCCAGAAUUGCCUUUAAGACUGCCGAGCUAGCAGGUGAGAGAGGUAAGUGGAAUUCCGAGUGUAGAGGUGAAAUUCGUAGAUAUUCGGAAGAACACCAGUGGCGAAGGCGGCUUACUGGCUCAUACUGGACGCUGAGGUGCGAAAGCGUGGGGAGCAAACAGGAUUAGAUACCCCUGUAGUCCCUGUCUCUUAUAC
rnacentral:rRNA from 1 species